GUGCUGCAGGCUGGAAGGAGAUACUCCAGGAGAGUAGGGAGAAAGCCUUCUAGAGCCUGGAAAACCACUGUGCCCAUAGGAGCCCCAGAGGAAGAGCAACAAGUACCCUCACCCCCUUACGGCUGUCAGGACGUUUUGUGUUUAACAAAGGAAGACAGCUGGGUGCCAGGUCAGAUCCCAUGGAGGGAAGGGAUCCCUGUGCAUCAGAAGGCAUAUAUUCCAAGGCCAUGUACACAUUCUGCCCUUUCUACAAACAAGCAGGCCAGGCUUAAAGGGGUGAGGUAAAGUGACCACAGUCCCAACACUGGUGUGGGGAUGAACUUCAGGCUCAAAGCUAAGAAGAGACAACAAUAGCUUCGAAGCAAUGGAGCCGUGGCAUGUGCCUCACAUCAUCUCUCUUCCGUUCUACCACUCACUAUGUUUUUCCCUGUCCCGGGCCCCAUGAGCAACAGGUGCGUAAGACAGUCACAGUCCUUAAGGCUCAGUGUAACCAGGGAUUCUGCACAAACCAGCUGCCGAUGGUCACAUAUUCUCUGAUACGCCAAGAUGAACCUCAGGCCCUUGAAAACAAUAAAAGGCAACAACAGCAUUCUUUGUGUUUCUUGCCUAAGUGGGACGAGGAGCUGCCAGCAAUUACGCUGGGGCUGUUGCCGCAAAGCCUGCUUGCCUCCAGAGCUACAGCUGCGCUCCAGAGAGAUCGUUAGUCAGUGUGCACAUGCUACUGAGGGCAGUGGUGUCAUUACCAGUUGAAGAUGCCCUCAGCCAAGUGUGAGGGCCGGAAAUGGAGGUCAAAAUAAUUAACCUUGUGUGAUUUUUUGGCAGAGCUCCUUGCAAAAUCACCGUGUGCAUCCCAUAUUUCAGCAAAAUAAUACAUCCAUUAGUUCACAAGUCUCUCUUUUCUUCCCUUCUUCCCUCACUCAACUGUCAGUCUUUCCCCCUUUCUCUCUCCCAUGCCAUGUCUCUAGCUUACUUUUCUUUAUCCCCUUCCCACCCCAAUAGCAGAUCGUCCUAACUCACUGCACCCACCGCUGGCAGUGCCUCAGUACCAUCUCCCAUCACUAUCACACCAACUCUCCGAAGAAAAGCAGAAUGCAUCCUUACAAAGGCUUCUUCUGACCCAGUUUCAGUGUACCCACACUCAGCUGUACCACGCUCACUUCGGGAGUCACAGCCAGCCAAAGCAUCCUUGGACUGCUCAAGGAAGACUCCCAUGGGACAUGGGGAGGGGCCAGUCUGGGUUCGGAAAUUGACUGUGGGUCCAAAUGCUUUUUCUUAUUCGCUAUUGGAGAUGGGUCCCUGAAGGGAUCAUGUACAACAGAAAGCUAAGGGUAUUCGCCAACUUGUGAGGGACACAUUGUUGUCUAACAUGCAAGGUACCUGUCAGAGUCGGGGUUAUAAGCCUUAAUUCUGUUCCCUCAUGCAGACAUCCAUCCUUUUCAUUCAACAGUAUGCACUGGUGGUUGACUUCAUGGCAUGGUGUUAUGUACGCUUUGUAACUGGUGUGAGACAUUUUAUUAAUUAAAGAUGUCAUUAUAGUCAUAUAUUUUGUUACAAUUAAAUGAAACACUCAGGGCUUGUGUCCUAAUUAGCACAAAUCCCAUGAUCCCCUUCAUUCUUGACCUUAAUUUAGUUUUCCUUCUCCCCAUCCUCACUGGGCCUCCCCAUCAGUCAUUCCAGCUCUUGAGUAGCAAGGAUCUUUACACCCUAAGUGCAAUGCUCUCCAUCGCCACCAGAGGCUGAAGUUGAAGAAUGGUCUCAUCUAAGUGUACAGUCAGGGGCACCAUUGCAGAGCCUAGGCUGUACCAGGGCUGCUAAGAUCAUUUCAGGGUACAAGGUUCCUCAAGAACACUAGUAAGCAUACUCAGAUGUUAUCUCUGGCUCUGUACAGAAUGUGAGGGGAACCAGUGACUGAGACACUCUCCAUCCUACAGUAGCUCACCAGAUCUCUUCUCUCCUAUCCAUGAGCCCUGAUGACCCCACCACCCUGCACUCUGUUCCCAUGUCUCUAGGAUUAGGUCUUGUCCGUGUCUUGAUGGCCUUCAGGACUCCUCUGCAAGCUGGUCUACAUCCAGAUCCCUGCAUAGCAUUCAAAGCCAUCCAGCAACACACAAAGCCCUGUCACCACCUCCAUGUGGGAGAGCAGGAAUCACACCCUAAAGAAGUCCUUUUCCAGUCCAGCUAACUUGUCCUUCCCGGAGCCACUUGGAAGAUUUUCCUGAACAUUGCAGCUGUGUAUCAUGCUUAGUUAUUAAAACUAUGAUGCAAAGCAGAGAACACGUCUGCCUUGUAGAUGCUCACACUCUAGGGAAGAGCCCCCACACCCCUACUCUACCCCAAGUACAGUGGAACUUACUCUGCUUAACUAGAUAGUGCUCAUUCUGGAAUGCCUGGAGGAACAGAGGAACCCAAGUACCCGAGAAGAUGGCAGAGAGGGCAUAAGAAGGGCAUGGCAAACCUGAGCAGACAAAGACAGUUUUAAUCCACCCUCCCCCCCACCUGACACACAUGCAUAUACCUCUACUCCACUCCCCCAUUAGGAGACAUUACUCCUCACUUAGGGAAAGAUAAAGCCCAUGCAUUGAGUAGGAGCAGGAUAGAUUUCAAAAUUAGUUCAAUUUCCAUCCUUCACACAUCAGUUGUAAACCACUGCAGAUUUGGGGAUGUGAAGGCUUUGGGAGGUCAAGGACAAACACCCCACUUUCUAGUCAAUUCCCAUUGAAUAUAUAAGGUCUGGAGCAUUUCCACUGAAACUGUGCUGUGCACCUUGGUUUCCCUUCCAGGGAGCUGUGGCAGGGAUGUGGCCAUGACUGGAGUGGUCCUGAUGCAGGAUCACAGGAGGGGAGGGCUUCCUGGGAUUCAUAUAAGUACAGUGGCCAGGAUCAAGCAAUGGUUAAAAUAUGAGGAAAUUGCUUCCAGCAGUUUAUACUCUUGGCUUGACUCAUAAUUUAACCUUGAAUAUAGUUUUCAAAAAUCAUUAAGUCCCCAAAGCCUUCAUCUCUAGCAGUGAUUAGCCAUGAUGUAGUAAGCAGGAAGGGCGGGAAGUUCAUAUAUUUAUUUCCAAGAAGGCACAUCGUACUUGCAGAAUCUAUUCCCUCAGCAUUCAGGGAGGAGCGCUCUCUUACAGGCACCAUGCUGGGCACUGUGGGAUUUGAUGCUAGACAGACCUGGACUUCUCCCCUCAAGGAGCUUCAUGUCUAAUGACAGAAGAGGGCAAGAAUCUAAGUGACCUUGACAGGAAAACAAUCUGGCUGUCUGGUUGCCUAUGGCCUUGUACAUGACAGGCUCUGUCAGAAGGGUUCCCCAUCCAGCCACCCAUUUAUUCCCUGAGACAGCCCAGUGAAGGCAGUUCCUGUGGUCUGAACACAAAAUGCUUCACAUAGGUUCAUGUGUUUGAACACUUGGUCCUUAGUUGGUCGUGCUGUUUUGGAAGGUUGUGGAACAUUUAGGAGGAGGAGGAGCCUUACCAGAGGAAGUGGUUCACCGGGGAUGGGCCUUGAAGUUUCUACGGCAGGUCUAGAAUUCCUGUCAGCAGCUCUACUUUCAGACUGCAGAGGUAAUGGGACCAUCUGCCUCAUGCUCCUUCAACCAAGCCUUCCAAACCAUGGUAGACAGCUACAAUAAGAGCUACAAUAAGGUCUUUCUUCCAUACAUUGUUUUUGCUGGGUAUUUUCACUAGCAAUGAGGAAAAACAACUAACCAGAGGUUAUCAUCCUGCCUCUGCUUUGCUGAUGAAACAACUGAAGGUCAAAACUGCAGAGCAAGAAAGCAGACAUCAUUCCGAGUAUGUGUACCUAGUAUUCCUUCCCCCCAGUCUCUCAGCCAGUAGCUAAGGAAAAUUAUAAUUUCUCACUGACCCUGGCACCCAACCUGUCCUCUGAUGGUGCCUUGAGGAAAAACUCACAGAGGGCCAGUCAUGAGGGCCAGGAGGUGAGUCCACAAGGUUACAGAACAAAGCUGAGACAGAGAGUCCAUCUAGUGAAGACGUCUUUGGCACAUCAUGAAUCCCUGGGACUCAGGACUGGUACCCACUGCCUUGAGGUCAUCAGCUAAAUAGCUAUUCCUUACACUGCUGCAUCCACUUUGGGGAUGAGCUAAUUACAAGCUUCGUUAGGGAUAAAACUCUGCAGACUCGCACAUCCCAGCCUCUAUACCUACCUAGCCCAUCUGGUUCCUCUAUAUCUCCCCAAGCAAUGGUUCAAUGAAACCCAUGAAGCUCCUGGGUUGCCAUGGAGAUGGCAAGGCUACAGCUAAUCGGAAGCAAGUAUGAGAGAAGCUGAUCAUGUAGCUUCCCCGGGCAACUCCCGAGCAUAUUCUCCAACAACCCUUCACAUUUGGAGUCAAGGAUUUUCUGGGUUCUCAUGAAAAACCCGAAGGCCUUUAAUUUCCUCAGCCUGGCCAACAGGUUACCUCAUUUUCACUCAGCUCAGUCCCAGGCCCUUUACACGAAGCAGGUUGAUUCUCCUCUCAACCCAUUUGUUUUGUGAACUAGUAAUUCUGAAACACCCGCCCGGUGAAGCAAGAGCAAGGAAAAGACUUUCAGUGAUUACAAAAAUCCAUUUAGUGUCUGUAGUAAAGCCAUCCUAGGGCUUUGAUGGGCCAGACAUACAUCCACCGAGAUCAUCUCCCUAUAGGCCAAAGGGCAGAUGGCUGUAACCACUGUCUGGUGGGUCAGACUAACAACAUCACUCAGAGCUGGAGAGAUGAUGGUUCAGUCCAUAAAGUGUCUCCUGCUCACUCAUGAGGAUCCUAGUUAGGAU